rnacentral:misc_RNA from 1 species
CAUUGGGAAAGCUAUGGCAUAUUCAGACAAGUCCACAACUAUGAGUGCAUAUAAUUUUCAUUGAUUUGUAUACAUGAUAUUACUUCAUUUAUUCUCUCACCGUUUGCUUUUCUGGGACACCCUCAGCUGAAGAAGUUCUUUUGACUUGCUUUCCUCUAUACCCAAAUUUCUCCUGAUCCUAUCUACCAUUUUUUUAUAUAUGAACUCAUUAUUCUUGUUUUCCUUUUCUUUUCUGGUUUGCAAUGUCUAUUGAAACAAAAUAAUAUUUUUAAUCAUUUUAUUGAGAUACCUCAAUUGCAUUACUCAUUUUGCUUGCGAUUAUCUUGAGAGGAUUGAAUAAAUUUGCUAUUAAGUAAGAAUAGCAUUAAGUUUUACUGUUAAGUGAAUGAGAAUAGUGACCAACGUUAUUUUUAUUUGUUUCUCAUUCUUUUCAGUGGAUUGGAGCAUUUUUCUCUCCAAAUUUGUGAUCAUAUUAGACUUCCAUCUUCUGGUGUAUUAAGUCUUCAAAGAAAGGAUUAGACAUCUGUCGCAACAAAAGGGAAUCUAGCACACAAUUUAUAGGAUAUUUUGACAGUUUUAUUCAUAUACCGCUGUAGUAUCUGAGUUAUUUGUCGUUAUAUCUGCAGGUAUCCCCCACAUAUUCAAAGGAGGUAACUGGAAAUCCAGCAGUUGCUCCUCCACAAGUUCCAUGGAAUAUUGAAUGGAAUUCUCCCAGAUAUAUGGGAUCCUUAUAACGAUAAGUUCAUUCUUGUUAGUGGAUGACAAUGUUGUUUUUGAAUUUCUUUGACAAGUGGUUCUUGAAUCUAAAGGCCUUUAGUUAUAGCUCUUCCAUGUUCUGUAUCCAUGAACUAGCAUUUGUAAUUUUUGCAAUGCUUAAAUUGUGAGUAAAAAGCUAAAUGGAAGAAUGGUGUGUCUACUGUACGAUCAUGUAUGUUGCAGAUUUCUUCAUUAAUAUUGCAAUGGGAGCUUAAAAUCGUUGUUAUGUUGAGGAUUUGAGUAGUGGGACUGAGUCUUUGGUUCUGACUUUUUGAUGUUGCUUAACACAUAUGAAAUAUGCGAGAGUUUUGCCCUAUUUAGGGUGAAAUUUCUACACCUAGCUCAGUUUUGUUUUUCAAGUUUGAACAUGUCAUAUUGGAACCAAAUGUAAUUUUUACCGAGUUUUUUUUCACUAUUUAUUUAGCCAUACUGAAUAUUUCUUUGAUGAUUCUGAUUAUUGCCAAUGCAAUUGUGCUAAUACAUGUAUUAUUAAAGGUUCUCUACACAUCUGAGAAUGUUGAGAGCAGCCAAGGAGGCUUUGUAGCAGAGGCUUGGUUUAAAGAAAGCUUAUAUCCCUUUAGAAGGGAUCAUCACUCGCCUAACACAUUAGAAAGGAAUCCAUCUCAUCAUGCAUGCAAUUUGGCGAACCUUAGA